UACGUAGGGGGCGAGCGUUGUCCGGAGUUACUGGGCGUAAAGCGUGCGCAGGCGGUGAUGUAAGACAGAUGUGAAAUCCCCGGGCUCAACCUGGGAACUGCAUUUGUGACUGCAUCGCUGGAGUGCGGCAGAGGGAGGUGGAAUUCCACGUGUAGCAGUGAAAUGGCGUAGAGAUGUGGAGGAACACCGAUGGCGAAGGCAGCCUCCUGGGCCAGCACUGACGCUCAUGCACGAAAGCGUGGGGAGCAAACAGG
rnacentral:rRNA from 1 species